rnacentral:pre_miRNA from 1 species
AAUAUACUCCCUCUGUCCCAAAAUUCUUGUCUUAGAUUUGUCUAGAUACGGAUGUACGUACAUCCGUAUCUAGACAAAUCUAAGACAAGAAUUUUGGGACAGAGGGAGUAGUUA